UGGCCUCGAACUCAUGACAAUAUUCCUGU
rnacentral:piRNA from 1 species